rnacentral:lncRNA from 1 species
AGCUUUUCCCAGCCAAAGGAGAGAAGGGAAGGAUGAGCCCCCAACUUCCUCCUUCCUGGGUGUGGCUUCCUUCACAACCCAGACUCUUGGCAUCCUCUUGUUCACUCCCACCCACCCAGCUUGUUGUCAAACCUUUUCGCUAAUGAAGACAUAAAUAGCUCACAAUGCUUGACAGGAGGCUUCUCUUAGCAGUUCUGUGUUUUCACCUGGACCACACACUAAAACAAAGGACUAACCCAAGGUAUUUGAGGAGGACUGUGAGCUGGGGGAAGAGAGAUGGUUGGACGGUUGGAGCUUUGGAUGAGUUUGGGUUCCUCCAUAAGCCAACUGAUAGAUCAGACUGUUUGGGAAGCAAAGGGGAGAAGUGAGGAUGUUACUUGUCUUGGAAAGAGCCUGCACCAGCAGAGCAGAGGCCAAGCUGUACCUGACAAAUGUGCUAUAGUCUCAGCACUGGAUCUAGGACAGGGGAAAAUGGCUGCUCCGUUUUCGAGAUCCGUCUGGGCAGCUGACUUUGCAGAUGGGAUCUACUGGUUGCAUUUCUAAGCUUGAGAGAUCAUCUUCUCUUUACCUUGAAGGUGUUGGAACCAGUGUUUAAAUUGUGAAAGAUCAUUGCUUCAAGAUGCUGGGACGGCUCUGACAACGAAGAAGGAAAGGAAAUAUUGAUAGAAAAUACCCUCUGGAUUUUUCAGACAUCAUGGAAGAUUUUUUUUCUCCACAGAAGAAAAGAACACUGACAGCAAGAAAAAUAUCUGUGUGUUCUCUAACUCCGAAUGGAAGUUUCCUGGGAAACCUUUCCUGUGAAUGGAAUGUAUGAGGUUUGUCCCAUGACAGACAAAUAAAAAACACAAGAAACUACAACAGAAAACUUCUUCCCCUGAAAUAUUGCAGUCAGGAGCAGAUAACACCUAUCUUUUUUCAAGGACAUGUAGAGAUUCCAACCCUCUGGUGUUCAGUGACACUAAGAAUGUUAUUCCCUCAAUUUAACAGCAGAGCUUCUUUUCUUACUGAUAAAAAAAUUUAAAAAGGGUUUAAAUUACUUAAGUAAAAAGAACUAUGGUGGGGCCUUCUCAGUCAUAGAUAAGCAUCAGCUCUUGCUGAUCUGCUGUAUUGUCAGCAAAGUAAUGGCUCAGUUUGUGUAUUGUUCUCCUUGUGCCAAACAGAAGGGAGAGUAAACCUUAUCCACAGGCUCCUGUUACCAGCAGACACUGGCUUCCGUCAGAGGCGGGUUCUGGGGAAACAGUUUUCACAUUCACCAAUUAAAAGAAGGGAAAUAGCCAACAUUUGCACAACUUAUAGAUAUACCCCAUCCCAAUAAACCUUGAGUUUUUGUCUAUGCAUUGUUGUCUAAUUAAAAAAAAAAGAGCAAUGAGCGAGAGGGAGAAUACACAGGCUACUACUGAACUGUGUUGCUAACAGAAGAAAGUUGAGGGGUCGGGUGGGGACGGACAACCAGUGAUUAAAAUCAGGCUUUUAUUUGAAAUUCUGACUACUUUUCUGUAGCAGCUUCCAUGCUAACUUAUACAUUCUGUUCCUAAGCUGGGUGAAGCAUGUCUUUUUUUUUUUUUUAAAACAGCUUUAUUGAGAUAUAAUUUAUGUACUAUAAAAUUCACCUGUU